rnacentral:rRNA from 1 species
AUUGAACGCUGGCGGCAGGCCUAACACAUGCAAGUCGAACGAGUGGCGGACGGGUGAGUAAUGUCUGGGAACCUGCCUGCUGGAGGGGGAUAACUACUGGAAACGGUAGCUAAUACCGCAUACCAUCAGAUGUGCCCAGAUGGGAUGGGCUUUUUGGUGGGGUAGCGGCGCACCAAGGCGACGAUCCCUUGCUGGUCUGAGAGGAUGACCAGCAACACUGGAAAUGAGACACGGGCCAGACUCCUACGGGAGGCAGCAGUGGGGAAUAUGGCACAAUGGGCGCAAGCCUGAUGCAGCCAUGCCGCGUGUAGGAAGAAGGCCUUAGGGUUGUAAAGUACUUUCAGCGGGGAGUCGUUACCCGCAGAAGAAGCACCGGCUAACUCCGUGCCAGCCGCCGCGGUAAUUC